GACGAACGCUGGCGGCGUGCCUAAUACAUGCAAGUAGAACGCACAGUUUAUACCGUAGCUUGCUACACCAUAGACUGUGAGUUGCGAACGGGUGAGUAACGCGUAGGUAACCUGCCUGGUAGCGGGGGAUAACUAUUGGAAACGAUAGCUAAUACCGCAUAAUAUUGAUUAUUGCAUGAUAAUUGAUUGAAAGAUGCUAUUGCAUCACUACCAGAUGGACCUGCGUUGUAUUAGCUAGUAGGUGAGGUAACGGCUCACCUAGGCGACGAUACAUAGCCGACCUGAGAGGGUGGUCGGCCACACUGGGACUGAGACACGGCCCAGACUCCUACGGGAGGCAGCAGUAGGGAAUCUUCGGCAAUGGACGAAAGUCUGACCGAGCAACGCCGCGUGAGUGAAGAAGGUUUUCGGAUCGUAAAGCUCUGUUGUAAGAGAAGAACGGGUGUGAGAGUGGAAAGUUCACACUGUGACGGUAUCUUACCAGAAAGAGACGGCUAACUACGUG
rnacentral:rRNA from 1 species